GGGACUUGCUCGUUCUGGAUGAGUUGCGAACGGGUGAGUAACGCGUAGGUAACCUGCCUGGUAGCGGGGGAUAACGAUUGGAAACGAUAGCUAAUACCGCAUAACAUUGACUAUUGCAUGAUAGUCAAUUGAAAGGUGCAAAUGCACCACUAUCAGAUGGACCUGCGUUGUAUUAGCUAGUUGGUGGGUAACGGCUCACCAAGGCGACGAUACAUAGCCGACCUGAGAGGGUGAUCGGCCACACUGGGACUGAGACACGGUCCAGACUCCUACGGGAGGCAGCAGUGGGGAAUAUUGCGCAAUGGGGGAAACCCUGAUGCAGCGACGCCGCGUGAGUGAAGAAGUAUUUCGGUAUGUAAAGCUCUAUCAGCAGGGAAGAUAAUGACAGUACCUGACUAAGAAGCCCCGGCUAACUACGUGCCAGCAGCCGCGGUAAUACGUAGGGGGCAAGCGUUAUCCGGAUUUACUGGGCGUAAAGCGAGCGUAGGUGGCUUGAUAAGUCAGAUGUGAAAGCCCCGGGCUU
rnacentral:rRNA from 1 species